rnacentral:lncRNA from 1 species
UGAGACAUGAGGAUGGGGCGGAGGCGACCGCGGCUGCGCGGGUUGAUGAACGCGAUGAGGGGAUUCUCGGGGGUGUCGUUGGGAGCAAGGGAGGACAAGGGGUUCGUCAAGCGCCCCCUCCCAUGGCUUCCUCCAGCGCGAAGGCGCCUGCCGAUAGGUCCCUUACCAUCAGCGCAAUGUGCAGAACGACGCAAGGGUAAUGUGACAGUGUGACCCGAGGAUGGAGGUCCUCCUUCUCGAACACCAAGGAUGCCACGUGAUGGAAAAGGCAGCUCCCGAACGAGAGGGACUCAAUCAGAGCACCAACUAGCGGUGGCGGCACGACCGCCGGUGAUGAGCGCGGCGAGCGGGUCAUCACCGGCGGUCUUCGUGUUGGAGGAAGCCCCGGGGCAAGCAUCACGACCAACCCCAGGUUUGCACUCGCGCCCGACGUAGCCCCCGAGAAGACCAUCGUCACGUUCGCCAACCCGCACAACGGCAGCCGCCUCAACCCCGUCCUCAAGUCCCGCCUACAGGAGCUCAUUGGCAAAGACCAGGUGAAACCUAUGUCCCUCCCUCAUACUCCCUCCGUUCCUAAAUAUUUGUCUUUUUAGAGAUUUCAAAUGGACUACCACAUACGGAUGUAUAUAGACAUAUUUUAGAGUGUAAGAUUCACUCAUUUUGCUCCGUAUGUAGUCACUUGUUAAAAUUUCUAGAAAGACAAAUAUUUAGGAACGGAGGGAGUAGUAUGUAGCAAUAUGUCUAUUUUUUGUUGCACGGUGCUGCUUGUGAGAAGCCAUGCUAUAUUUAGCUAUUGGUCAUUAGCUAGUACUCCCUCCGUUCCAAAAUACUUGACUUUCAUUUGUCCAAAAAUGAAUGUACCUAUAUACUAAAACAUGUCUAGAUACAUCUAUAUUUUGACAGAGGGAAGGCAUGUAUUGUGGAACGGAGGGAGUAUUUACUAACUUGCCUUGCCGGUUGAGGAGCAGUGCAGCUAGCUCCUCGUCCUCUCCCACCACCGGAAAACACAUUUCCUGGAUCCUAACCCCUGAUCAGGUCAUGGUCGUGCUCAGAGAUGACCGUAUCAUUGUCGGCGUCCCCGUUGCUGGCGGAGAGGGAGGCACCGUGAUCAUCGUGCUCACUGGCGGCUGUGCCGCCGCCGUUGCAUGGUGCUCUAAUUGAGUCGCCCUUGUUCCGGAGCUGCAGAUUCAGCCGCGUUGCAUCCUCUACGUUCGACAAGGUGGACCUCCGCGUCUAGGUCAUGCUGCUAGAAUGCCUCCGCGAUGCUCUGCACGCUUCGCUGAAGGUAAGGAAUCCAUUAGAAGGUGCCUAUGCAUUGCUGGAAGCCCCAG